UACGUAGGGUGCAAGCGUUGUCCGGAAUUAUUGGGCGUAAAGAGCUUGUAGGCGGUUUGUCGCGUCUGCUGUGAAAUUUCGGGGCUCAACCCCGAACUUGCAGUGGGUACGGGCAGACUAGAGUGUGGUAGGGGGAGACUGGAAUUCCUGGUGUAGCGGUGAAAUGCGCAGAUAUCAGGAGGAACACCGGUGGCGAAGGCGGGUCUCUGGGCCGAAACUGACGCUGAGGAGCGAAAGCGUGGGGAGCAAACAGG
rnacentral:rRNA from 1 species